UCGAGAAUUUUUCACAAUGGGCGAAAGACUGAUAGUGCGACGCCGCGUGAACGAAGAAUCCCUUCGGGGUGUAAAGUUCUUUUUUAAUCGAGCAAUGCCUUUUAUGUGAUAAGCAUGAGAGGAGAGAUAUUAGGUUAAGAAUAAGCAACGGCUAACUCCGUGCCAGCAGCCGCGGUAACACGGGGGUUGCAAGCGUUGUCCGGAAUUACUAGGCGUAAAGGGCAGGUAGGCGGAUAUAUAAGUUUUGUGUUAAAGGCAUCGGCUUAACCGGUGUAAGGCAUAGGAUACUGUAUAUCUGGAAUGCGGUUGAGGAAGACAGAAUUCCUGGUGUAGCGGUGGAAUGCGCAGAGAUCAGGAGGAAUACCAAAGGCGAAGGCAGUCUUCUAAGCCGAUAUUGACGCUAAACUGCGAAGGUGUGGGUAUCAAACA
rnacentral:rRNA from 1 species